UUCUAAAAAUGAGCAUUUUUCUGGUGGAAAUUGCUCUUCCAAUACGAUGCUUUUCGACGCAGACUUUGAUUUCAUUUACACUGAUGUAUCUAGAAAUGGUUUUUGGCAACAAAGGAGAGGGAAAAUUUGUAUAGCUGAAUUCCGAUUGGUGAAGCACUGAGCAUGCGGUGCACUAUGAAUUGUGCUUGGAAACACUCGGAUUUGAUUUGGGGUGAGUGGUAGAUCAGGGUGAGAUAUCUGUAUUGGAAAUUUGUGUUGUGAAGAUGACUCCUAAUGCUCUCCUGGAAGGGAGCUCAGGUCAAAUAAUCACAAGCGUGGAUGUAGUCUUGAGAGUGGAUUACUCCUUCAAGAGAAAGACGAUGAUCUUGCUUUGUUCAAUGAGAUGCAGACCAGAGAAAGAGAAUUUUUUGCUUGACAUGACCGAUGAUAUUGAUGACUCAUUCUGUUGUUGACUCCUCCAGACACUCCUCUUUUCCCUUCGUUGGAUGAUAAUACCCCAGCAAUUAGUCCUGCCCCUAGGGGCCGAUCCCUAACUCAGCCCAUUUCCAUCUCAAGAUCAUCCACGAUGGAGAAGAGUUCCAGGACCAGUAGAAGUAGAACAAGCCCACAUCGGUUAAGCCCAUCCCCUCAGUCUGGAAGCAAACACAUUUCAAUCAAGAGGAAGGCCAUCUUCAGCUCCUCAUUCUAGUCCAUGUCCCAUCCAACGACCUGCUUCACCAUCACCGAGACGAGGGGGGAUUAUGUAAUUUCAACAAACGACAGUGGAGGUAGAUAUAAAUCGCCCUAGAUUUAAAUACCUUUGCCUGCCACUUGCCAUAAUGUGUGAAGGUUAUUUGUCACUUGGCCUUUUUUUUUUUACUUUUCAUUGGGUAGAAUAUCAGCCACGGGCCAUGGCUAAUUAGUAUUCAGUAAUGAAUUUUUUUUUUUGGUUUUUUAAAAUGCAAAACCUAAUAUGGUAUAUGUGACCAAAGGGAAAGGUGAAUUAUUCUAUUU